rnacentral:rRNA from 1 species
GAUGAACGCUGGCGGCGUGCCUAAUACAUGCAAGUAGAACGCUGAAGCUUGGUGCUUGCACCGAGCGGAUGAGUUGCGAACGGGUGAGUAACGCGUAGGUAACCUGCCUCUUAGCGGGGGAUAACUAUUGGAGACGAUAGCUAAUACCGCAUAAAAGUCGAUAUCGCAUGAUAUUGAUUUGAAAGGUGCAAAUGCAUCACUAAGAGAUGGACCUGCGUUGUAUUAGCUAGUUGGUGAGGUAACGGCUCACCAAGGCGACGAUACAUAGCCGACCUGAGAGGGUGAUCGGCCACACUGGGACUGAGACACGGCCCAGACUCCUACGGGAGGCAGCAGUAGGGAAUCUUCGGCAAUGGGGGCAACCCUGACCGAGCAACGCCGCGUGAGUGAAGAAGGUUUUCGGAUCGUAAAGCUCUGUUGUAAGAGAAGAACGAGUGUGAGAGUGGAAAGUUCACACUGUGACGGUAACUUACCAGAAAGGGACGGCUAACUACGUG